rnacentral:misc_RNA from 1 species
GAUGAAGAACGUAGCGAAAUGCGAUAAUUAAUGUGAAUUGCAGAAUUCCGUGAAUCAUCGAGUCUUUGAACGCACAUUGCGCCUCAUAGCAUUCCGUGAGGCAUGCCCAUCUCAGCGUUAGAAAAUAUUCUCAAAUUUUAGUUUUGUGCUAAAAUUUGGAUCAUGUCAAGGAAGCUAUUACUAUUAUUGUGAUCGCUCUUUGGAAAUUGAUAGGUCUUUGAGUUGCUACUCAUAGAACGUGAUGAAUCUUUCUUCGUUCUAUUGUAAUUCACUCUGGUAGUCCUAAAACUUGUAUGCCUGUGGCAUAUCUUGUAAUUUGACCUGAGAUUGGGUAGGGAUACCCGCUGAACUUAAGCAUAUCAAUAAGCGGAGGA